rnacentral:lncRNA from 1 species
GGGUGAAAGGCUUCAAAAAUCCAAAGCGGCCUUUAGCUUAGAUGCCAAGAAUGUUCCAUUGAAGUCAAGAGCGUCCAUUUGAAGCAGAAGCAAAUUUCAAUUUCAAGCAAGCUUCAUGCAAAAAAUGAUUACAACUAUUCAAUGAAACCUAAGAAACGUGAAAUAUCAGAAGAUUAAUUUUUUUGAUUUGGACAAAAGGGACUAACGUCCCAAAAAUUUAGACAAGCAGCAACAAUUUCGUUCAAAUUCAAAGAAGCAGAAGGUUCAUUUCGUGCCAAUAAUUCGAGGAAGAGGUAGGUUAAGGCUCUCCUUUUUUCUUUUGGCAUUGUUCAAAUUAUACUGAAGAAACGAACAAAUAUACAGUUGUUAUAAAUUACUUUAUUAAUAAAAAUAGCAUGGGUAUCUAUAUUCUUGAUUUCCCUAUUAUCUUCUGUUCAUUAGUCCCAGAAUAAUACAAAGUUGAAAAAGUUUAUCCAGAAGGAAUAUCGAGAUUAUUACGUAUUUUUCAUGCAUUUCAUACAUUUAUACAUGUGCAUUGACAAUAAACAGAUGGCGUUAUAUACGCGUAUAUAUGUAUAUUAUAUUUAUAUAAGGAUACGGAAAAAAGGUUACGGCGUUAUAUAUGCACCGCCACUUGAUCAGCUGGUAUAUGAUCAUGAUGUUGGCCACAGUGGCUGAAAUAUGACUCAAAUGGCGUUAUACACGCGUAUAAAUGUAUGUAUAUGUAUUUGGGAUAUGGAAAAGAGUUACGACGUUAUAUACGCACCACCACUUGAUCAGCUGGUAUAUAUUGAUUAUAUUUCCCACAGUGGCCGAGGUGAUAUGAUGGGAUGCCCUCAAGUGAUUGAUGAUAUUAUGUACACCCAUACCUAUGCGUGGCAUGACAUUUACACGCACGUGCAUGAUGUUAUAAAAGUUUCCGAAUUUACAAAGUUAUUCAGAUUUAAAGAUUUGUUUCAGUAUUCCGUGUUUGAUUUAUGUCUUUUACGUACUAAUUUUCGUAUCUUACAUACCAAGUACAUUUUUUGUACUGACGUCCUAUUUCACGGGGCCUGCGUUUCAUGCCUGCAGGUAGGCAAGCUGACGGUCCCCCUUCUUAGGAUCGUUGAUCAGCAAGCGUUGGCGUACUUCAUUUGAUCUGGAGCUACCUUUGAUAUUGAUACGAUACGUAUGUAUGUAUGUAUGUAUAUAUAUAUAUA